AGUAAAAUGGCUGAGGUUAAAGCGAUAAAUUGUAAAUUUAUUAACGAAAAAUUUUCUUUUACU
rnacentral:tRNA from 1 species